rnacentral:rRNA from 1 species
UACGGAGGGUGCAAGCGUUAUCCGGAUUCACUGGGUUUAAAGAGUGCGUAGGCGGGCAUUUAAGUCAGUGGUGAAAUACCUGAGCUUAACUUGGGAACUGCCAUUGAUACUAUUUGUCUUGAAUGUCGUGGAGGUUAGCGGAAUAUGUCAUGUAGCGGUGAAAUGCUUAGAUAUGACAUAGAACACCUAUUGCGAAGGCAGCUAACUACGCGAAUAUUGACGCUGAGGCACGAAAGCGUGGGGAGCAAACAGG